GACGUUUUUUUCAAUGGAGAGUGGGGGGAAGUCGUGUCCGCGGACGACGCAGAAAAAAAUGUUACGGAGCCGUCGCGUGGAAAGAGUAUCUUCUUAGGUGUUGUAGCAGCAUCUAGCAUGGUAGUACAUUCUUUUGAGUUAUUUUCUCAAAUCGACAGGCACAAAUUUCCCGAGCAAUUCGGCAUCUUUGUCUUUUGUGGUUCAGUACGCUCUCUUCUUUACACAAAACUCGGGAAGUGGGCCCUCGCCAAAACGAACGGUGCCGUCGUCGGCCACGGGUGGCGCAGAGCUGUUUUACAAGCGAAUAUAAAUGUUUCCUGUGGGUGAUAUGAGGAAGAUGCUGAGCCCUCUUUUUUGUUCGAUUAUGAAAAGGUGCGCAACUGAGGUGCUUCCAGAGGGAAAAGGGGCUCAUAGGUAGAUGCUGGUUUACGGAAGGGGGACCGAACGAACUCCAGAAUCACUCAUCGUUACACAGGAAUCAGUCUGGCGUUCGUGCGUUUACACCGUUUCGUGUUCGAGCAGCUUUCACGAGUCGCUCACCAGGUGAACACUUGCAUGGAACGAGUCAAAGUGGUCACUAGGUUUGUUUACUUUGCAGUAGCUACAUUUUCGUACCCCUUGUAUGUCACCCUCUAGACACGUUUCCGUUCAGGUGGUUCUCUGAA
rnacentral:lncRNA from 1 species